rnacentral:rRNA from 1 species
GAUGAACGCUGGCGGCGUGCCUAAUACAUGCAAGUCGAGCGAACAGAUGAGGAGCUUGCUCCUCUGACGUUAGCGGCGGACGGGUGAGUAACACGUGGAUAACCUACCUAUAAGACUGGGAUAACUUCGGGAAACCGGAGCUAAUACCGGAUAAUAUAUUGAACCGCAUGGUUCAAUAGUGAAAGACGGUUUUGCUGUCACUUAUAGAUGGAUCCGCGCCGCAUUAGCUAGUUGGUAAGGUAACGGCUUACCAAGGCGACGAUGCGUAGCCGACCUGAGAGGGUGAUCGGCCACACUGGAACUGAGACACGGUCCAGACUCCUACGGGAGGCAGCAGUAGGGAAUCUUCCGCAAUGGGCGAAAGCCUGACGGAGCAACGCCGCGUGAGUGAUGAAGGUCUUCGGAUCGUAAAACUCUGUUAUUAGGGAAGAGCAAAUGUGUAAGUAACUAUGCACGUCUUGACGGUACCUAAUCAGAAAGCCACGGCUAACUACGUG